UUCUAUGGCGGUUCAGGCAGGGGAGGCUUCGGCCUCGCCGGAAGGUUACUCCCGGUUGUGAGAUCCCUGUCUGAACCACCACCAAU
rnacentral:antisense_RNA from 1 species